GAUGAACGCUGGCGGCGUGCCUAAUACAUGCCAGUCGAGCGAACAGACGAGAGUGCUUGCACUCUCUGACGUUAGCGGCGGACGGGUGAGUAACACGUGGGUAACCUACCUAUAAGACUGGGAUAACUUCGGGAAACCGGAGCUAAUACCGGAUAAUAUUUAGCUUCGCAUGAAGCAAUAGUGAAAGACGGUUCUGCUGUCACUUAUAGAUGGACCCGCGGUGUAUUAGCUAGUUGGUGAGGUAACGGCUCACCAAGGCAACGAUACAUAGCCGACCUGAGAGGGUGAUCGGCCACACUGGGACUGAGACACGGCCCAGACUCCUACGGGAGGCAGCAGUAGGGAAUCUUCCGCAAUGGACGAAAGUCUGACGGAGCAAUGCCGCGUGAGUGAAGAAGGUUUUCGGAUCGUAAAACUCUGUUGUAAGGGAAGAACAAGUACGUUAGUAACUGAACGUACCUGGACGGUACCUUACCAGAAAGCCACGGCUAACUACGU
rnacentral:rRNA from 1 species